GUCGAGCGCGCCUUCGGGUGAGCGGCGGACGGGUUAGUAACGCGUGGGAACGUGCCCUUCUCUACGGAAUAGCCUCUGGAAACGGAGAGUAAUACCGUAUACGCCCUUUGGGGGAAAGAUUUAUCGGAGAAGGAUCGGCCCGCGUUAGAUUAGGUAGUUGGUGGGGUAACGGCCUACCAAGCCUACGAUCUAUAGCUGGUUUUAGAGGAUGAUCAGCAACACUGGGACUGAGACACGGCCCAGACUCCUACGGGAGGCAGCAGUGGGGAAUCUUAGACAAUGGGGGCAACCCUGAUCUAGCCAUGCCGCGUGAGUGAUGAAGCCUUAGGGUCGUAAAGCUCUUUCGCCUGUGAUGAUAAUGACAGUAGCAGGUAAAGAAACCCCGGCUAACUCCGUGCCAGCAGCCGCGGUAAUACGGAGGGGGUUAGCGUUGUUCGGAAUUACUGGGCGUAAAGCGCGCGUAGGCGGAUUAGAAAGUUGGGGGUGAAAUCCCGGGCU
rnacentral:rRNA from 1 species